UUUCCGUAGGUGAACCUGCGGAAGGAUCAUUACCGAGUGAGGGUCUCUCAGGCCCGACCUCCCCCACUGUGUUUUUGUGUCCUUGUUGCUUUGGCGGGUCCGCCUCGAUGAUAGGCCGCCGGUAGCUCACCGCUUUGGGCCCGUGCCUGCCAGUAACCCCCUUGACUUCUUAAUAACCCAGCAGUCUGAGAAUAUAUAUAAUAAAAAAUUAUUUCAACAACGGAUCUCUCGGUUUUGGCAAAGACGAAGAACGCAGCAGCUCGGAACAGCACACGUUUG
rnacentral:misc_RNA from 1 species